GUUAGAGUGGGAGAGAGCCAAAGCAUAAGAGUCUGUUAAAAACCAUACAGAGAAAGACAGAUACCAUAUAGUUUCACUCUUAUGUGGAUCCUGAGAAACUUAACAGAAACCCAUGGGGGAGGGGAAGGAAAAAAAAAAAAAAGAGGUUAGAGUGGGAGAGAGCCAAAGCAUAAGAGACUCUUAAAAACUGAGAACAAACUGAGGGUUGAUGGGGGGUGGGAGGGAGGGAAGGGUGGUUGAGAGUAUUGAAAGGGUAUCUUUUGGGAUGAGCACUGGGUGUUGUAUGGAAACCAUUUUGACAAUAAAUCUCAUAUAUUAUAAAAAAAUUAAAAAAAGAAAAACUGUGUGCCAACAAAUUAGACAACCUAAAAGAAAUGAAUAAA